CAAAAUGGUUAAACAAGAAUAAAUUUGUUAUACAAACGAGAACCUAAAUGAGAUUAUGAAAUGUAAGCAUGACCUAUUUUCUUAUUUCUAACACUUUCAGUUUUUUCAUCUUAAAAAAAAAAAUAACUGUGGGGGAAUAGCCCCACCUCGAAUUGAGGAGUAAUUUUACGGUUGUUCCAAAAACGUCCCUCAUUUUCAUCUCAAUAAUAUGCUUUAUAAAAAACUAUUGUACUACAGACUUAUAGUACCUGGAAUAUACAUAGACUUAGAGUUGAAGAUUCUUAUAAUGCCAAGCCAAAAAAGCAAUAUAAAAAUCUUAGUCUGAAUAGAAGAAUAAAAACCAUCUUUAGAAUAUGGUGAGAGUGUGAACAAGUUGAAAUAUUGUUGGGCAAAUGAACAAAAAUCAAAAUAAUUGUACUGGAAAGUGGUCCCACCACAUCACCACUAUAAUUGAAAGGAAACUUCCAAUAAGCCCACCCAAGACGUAAAAGAAAAUGAAAACGUGUGGCUUGUGAUGUGUGUUUGAUCUAGAAGCUCUUUUAAACAGAAAGCUAGAGCCAAGACAAAAUAUUAAAAACAGCCUACCCUUCUAGAUUAACAACUUAAACUUCUUUCUGAUUAUAUGUAUAUCGAUUGCUAUCAUCUUAUAUAUAUAUAGACAUGCUUGCCUACUCCUUGUUUAUGCAGAGAUAUAUUACUCUUAUCUAUCUUCCCCAAAUCAAAACUCUGUUCAAAUCAAACAGAAGAGAAAUGGGUUGUUCUAGGCAUGCUCUGUUUCUGAUGUUGCUUCUGGUAAUUGGUUUUACACUUGAGGAAGCGAGUACUGCAGAAGCCAGACCAUUCUCUCUUUCAUUUCAACAAGGACAGUCGAAUAUUUUUGGAACUCUUGGACUGGUUUGCAAGUGUUGUGAUGGUGAUGGUGAUGGAGGAGAAUGCACAAGUACAUGGUCUGGAUCUUGCUCUAAGCUCCAGUGCGAGCCUUGGAAGCUUCAUUGAUUUAUGUGUGUGUGUGUGUGUGUGUAUAUAUAGCUUUUAAUUUUGUUGUACAUACUAAUUACUACAUACCAAUAUUAAAUGAAAUCAAUUGGGUUCCAACCCAAUUUCGAGGUUUCAUUUCUCUCCAA